GCUGCGCGGGAGACUUAGCACACUACACUUUGUGCAGCCUACAUGGUUUUUGUUCAUCUUUUGAAUUCCACGUCCUAUCUCCCUGAAUCUUUUUCAGCUUCUCAACGGCAGGGCCCUUGCCUCCUAGUUUUAUUCCCAGGGCCAUACUUACGGCUGCUGAGUACCCAGAGAUUAACACUUGCCUGGGAAGACCGUAAAGCAGGACCUGAAAUUGAGAAAUACAUAGGUCCCAUCAUGCUGGAAAUGCUGAGAUGCAAUUUUGAAGCUGGACAAGCCCUUGAAGAACACAUGGACAAUGCAUUCAGUUGUGCAGGAUGGCUUGAAAUUCAUUACAUCUAGAAGAAACUCUGAGCAAGGUGGCAUCAACAAAAUUAAAUCAUCUGCUUGGAAGCCAGGGACCAGCUUAUUAGAUAAUGGACACUAACCUGUGCACAAUGGAUUGAGAGUCAAUUUAUAUUGUCAAGUGGCCAAGGAAUAUAUUAUUUGGGGAGAAUUUUUAAGAAUAUAUUUUUAAAAAUAUCUGGUAAGUAUAAAAAUCAAGUAAAGAAGGUUUAGUUUGAAUUUUUACUUUGUAGUUUGCUUAUUGAAUGACCUUUUGGGAUAAGUAUUUUUCUCAUCCACCCUAGUCUAGUCUAUGGACUAGAACCCAAACAGCCCCCGCCUUUCUACUCAUGGACACCCAUGGAGUCAUAGUAAACUUAAUAUACUUCCCCCCAUCGCCCAGCAAAUGUGGAGGCAUUAGGAGUCCCUGAAGCAUUUUCUAUGUGCUUGCAUGUGUUUUUUUUCUUAUCCUACCCUCUGCCAUUGUCCUUCCUGCUCCCUACACUGACCACCAGAAGGAAAUAUCUGGGUAGCCACUGUUGCAGGCAUUCUGGGAGACAGUGCAGCAUCCAGACUUGGUGCUACCCUGGCGGGAGCUCUUAGGUACCAAAUAUGGCUCUUCUGGAUCCUCCUUGGUGCCUAGAACAAUGCUGUGUUCCCUUGCAGAAAUAUCCCCAUUCUCCAACUGCAUGAAUCUGAUCUCUUGGGUCCUAAAAGGAACCUUGACUUAUAUUGAGGUAGAAGUUCCUCAAGGAGAUGAUUUUAGGUUCUACCUGCAGCUUCCUGGAGGUAAAGGUAGGUGCAGCCCCCUAAGCCUGGGAGGGGACUCAUACACCAUGCUUGUCCUCUUCCGUAGCCAUCUCUUCUUUCUUCAAGAUACCAUGAGUAAAACUUCUUGCCUUUGGACCUCCUUUCCUUAAUUUACAUCAUCUCAGGAAAUAGGUUUUAGAGUCCCAGUGGCUCAUCUGGGGUUGGCAGGUAACUCUUUUGUGAUAGUUACUAAUAGCCCAUACCAUUG
rnacentral:lncRNA from 12 species